UGGAUGGAGACAGAGAAAAAGAGAAAGAAUCCAGGAAUCCAGACGUUCUGCAGAGAACACUGUAUUCUGUGCACAUGCACAGGAGGUACAUGGUGGCAUAAGCCCUGGACUGGGAGGCAGGAAAAUCUGCGUUCAGCUCCCUGAUCAUCAUCUAACUAGUUGUGAAUGAUUCAGCAUGAUUGAAAGCUACUGCUCUUAUACCACAAUGAACUGAGCCACAAAAUGGUUUGUGCAGCCAGCUGAAAAGGACAACGCUCUUCGGCAGUAAUGUGGGGAUCCUGUUGCCUCUGUCUGUUCAUUCAUUCACUCUAUCAGAGCAAUGUCAGGAUGAAACUGUAGACAGAGGUAAGACAGUGAAUCUCAUACUGUAAUUUCCAAAAGUAUAUGCUUUAUUUUAACUAUAUUAUGUAGAAGGAAUUUACAUUCAUUUAAUAUAGUGAAUAGACAGUUAUUCUCUCCUAUAAGAGUAAAUCUGUAAUUAUUCUAUAACAACUACCUCGCAUCAUUUCUUUCCUAGAUAAGCUUUGUAAGUUUUUGAAAUUGAGAAGAUAACAUUUGAACUAAUGAAAUUGAAAUUGUCAGCAAAAAAAAGGAGGAAAAAAUUUUGAAUACAAACCUGAUUUGUAAAAGAGCUAAAAGGUUUUUGUUUUGUUUGUUUGCUUUUACAAAACUACUAGAAAUAAUAAGGAUGAAAGAAAAUGACUGUAUAUGAAAAGUAGGAUAUGAGUUUUCAGUGAAAGAAGGUAUAAAUAAUGGAGAUGCAUUUUUGAUACGGGAAAAAAAAUUUGUCCUAAAAUAAAAUGAUUGCUCCAGAAUAAGAAAAGAAAAAAAGAUAGGACAAAAGCUAAAUGGAUAUAGAAAGUUGUAGAAGGUUUGUGGAAAAAGAAUCCUGGGAAGGGAAUUUUAUGUAUGAUCAAGCUGAAUAAGAUUGAACAAAUUGGUCAUAAGGGUUUUUAAAUUAACCUUUAAUAUCAAUAGUGUACUUAGAUAAAACCGGAACUUAAUUUUCUUUCAUCUGCUAAAGAACAAAGUUUCGUUGGACUAUUAUUGGUCUGCUCCUGAUAUAAGAAAAUCUUAUGAAAGAUUUUUCCCUACUUUUAUAAGUAAUCUGCUUAAAAGCAAAGAUUUUAUGUUUUACCAACUGUGCCUCACACUGUUUACACAGGUCUUUGAUUACUUAAGGAAACUAGUCAUCUUGAUAAUAAAAGAGCUAAGUUUUGCUCUAUAUUUCUGUGGAGCAACCUUCUAUGUUUUCCUGUGAAGUCUUUAAUUGUUGUUUUGGUCACCUAGAUAACUAAGGAUAGUUUCACAAUGACUUAUGAUCCUAUUUGACCAGGUGUUUUGAAACCUUUUGGUAUUUGACAAAUACCUCCCCCCCAAAAAAAAUCAAGUUGUAAAUGAAGUCUUUUUGACCUCAAACUAACUUUGGGAUGUUCCAGAGGGCCUCUGGAACAUCUCAAAAGAUGUGUUCUCUCUCCUUAUAAAAGGAGAGAUGUUACACUAAUUAGGCUUAAUUGAUUUGUUAAGUUAUGUGGGAAACAUUGUCAAAUAAGUGAUGCUAAACCUUUAUUAGAUUAUAUUUGUGUGGACAUGUUAUUAAUAUAAGUAUUCCAGAAUUGUAUGAAAGUCCUAGAAAUCUGAUAUGUUCUAUUAUCACUUGUAAUUCUAGUUAUUAUCUUAAAGUGUUAUGUGUCACAGAAAUAACCAAAUUUCUUCAUAAAUUGCAAUUCUCAUCAGAUCUUUAACUGUGGCUAUUUUAAAGUUAUUUGUUCCUUACAGUUAUUGUUUUACUCUGAUGCUUUUACAAAAGUGUCCUUGCACAAGUGCUUCAUCUACAGAGAAAUUCAUGGAAAGGGCUCUGACAGGUAUUCUGGAAUAGAGCUUUCUGAUAACUUUUCUAAUCAUACCACUGAACUAGGUAAAAAUUUUUGGAACUCUCAUGGAGAAACUGAUGGCUUCAUAAAACUUCCAACAAAAGAUUGAAAUCAACAAGAAUUAGUUACAUGGGACUAAAUAAACUGAGGAAGAUGGUUAU